GAUGAACGCUGGCGGUAUGCUUAACACAUGCAAGUCGAACGGACUCUUCGGAGUUACUGGCGGAUGGGUGAGUAACGCGUGGGAAUAUGGCUUUGGGUUCGGGUCAACCACUGGAAACGGUGCCUAAUACCGGAUGUGCCGAUAGGUAAAAGAGAAAUUGCCUGGAGAUGAGUGCUCGUCUGAUUAUCUAGUGGGUGAGGUAAAGGCUCACCAAGGCAGUGAUCAGUAACUGGUCUGAGAGGAUGACCAGCCAGACGGGGACUGAGACACGGCCCAGACUCCUACGGGAGGCAGCCGGAAAGAAUGAUGCGGCAUGGCCGGAAGGGUGACGGGGCAAUACCGCGUGAGGGAAGAAGUCUCUGGGGAGGAAAACGUCUAUUCUUAGGGAAGAACAAUGUGACGGUACCUAAAGAAUCAGCAUCGGCUAACUACGUG
rnacentral:rRNA from 1 species